rnacentral:rRNA from 1 species
UACGGGGGGAGCAAGCGUUGUUCGGAUUUACUGGGCGUAAAGGGCGCGUAGGCGGCGCAACAAGUCACUUGUGAAAUCUCCGGGCUUAACCCGGAGCGGCCAAGUGAUACUGUCGUGCUAGAGUGCGGAAGGGGCUACUGGAAUUCUCGGUGUAGCGGUGAAAUACGUAGAUAUCGAGAGGAACACCUGCGGCGAAGGCGGGUAGCUGGGCCGACACUGACGCUGAGGCGCGAAAGCCAGGGGAGCGAACGGG